rnacentral:lncRNA from 1 species
CGCCAGUGCAUUAGCUGUUUGGAGUGAGCUCCCCCCUCCUGCGAGAUAAGCUGCCGCCCCUCCCCCUCGUGGCUCUCCACUUCCCUAGGGCACUGAAACUGUCCACCGAGGUCGUCUCACUUCCUCAGGCUCCCUCCUGCUUUGCUCUGGGCAGGAAAAAGUUAUCUCUCUUCCUGCAGUGCCGUGGAUUCGGCUGGAGCGACGGCAUAUGGGUUCUACAGUGUCUACUCAAGAAGUGUGAGGACCAGCUAGCUACCAUGCCCAGGAGAGGUUUGACUUCUGGCGGUUUCACCUCUGAUGGCUGCACAACCAAACACUGUGUAUGUGUGUGGCAUAUUUCUUGAAAAGCUUUCUUCAGAUCCUCUGCAUGUUCAUGUCUCGGAGAAGCGUCCGUGGGGAAGGAUUUGGCAUCGUGAGUGUACAGCUCAGAGUUGGUGAAUAGAAUGUGAACAUUGUUAACUUCAUUACACAUCAUGACAUCACAUCCUCCCAGCUUGCCCGUGUUGAAGAACUCCGUUUCUUUCAACCCAGGUCGCUAAUGCCUCUGUUGGAGAAUUGUUUUCCUCUCAAAACAACCAGGGGAUGAGCUGAACUGGUAACUCAGGCUUCCAUGGGCUUCCGGUAGCCCUCUAUGCAGCCUGGCACCCCAACUUUCCACCAGCCGGAAGAAAGCUACACUCCUCAGCCUGAGGCAGGUGCUUUCUUCCAGGCCAUCUUCUACCUUCCUGAAGUGCCUUCUCCUGGUCCUUUGGUCCCUUCCUUUGUCUCAGCUGCAUGUGCAAGAUUUUAUAGAAAGUAAAGACAAUCCUUCCAUUACCAGGGUAUGCAGGGCCCUGGAGGAUGUAUUGUUGGAAUUCUGUGGCUUUCUUUCCUUUAAGAAUGUACAGAAUCCCUUGCUCAGGUCUAGGAAAGGCUGCGUAAAGAACUCUGGAUUUGGAGUAAUGUCCCAGUUGACAUUCCGUAGACAAGGUAGUCAACCCUUCUCUGUAUUAUGGUAAGUCCUCAGUAUGUGUAAUUAUAUAAUUAAUUAUAGCAAACAGACAUGUUUGCUGUGCUAGACAAUGUGCUUGUCUGCGAUUCUUCUUCAAGGCCGAAGCAACUUUGGCUCCGUUACCCCUGGUUUUCCACGGGAGAAAUCCCUCGGCCUUCCAGGCUCCCUUUGAGUUGGAGUAUUGUCUUUCCCCGGAAUCAGCAGAGCGGCAAGCAGUUCAUCAGACUGACUCUCCUGUACACUGCAAUGGUUGCCAGAAGGCCUGGACCCAGCCUUCUGAUACCACAGUAACCAAGAGUCCCAGCCUCAGCUAUGUCCUUCUUGGAGCCAGG